GUGGAUUAGAUACCCUGGUAGUCCUGGCCGUAAACGAUGACCACCAGGUGUGGGAGGUAUCGACCCCUUCCGUGCCGGAGUAAACACACUAAGUGGUCCGCCUGGGGAGUACGGUCGCAAGAUUAAAACUCAAAGGAAUUGACGGGGACCCGCACAAGCAGCGGAGCGUGUGGUUUAAUUCGAUGCGACGCGAAGAACCUUACCAGGGCUUGACAUGCGCGUGCACCUGCUGGAGACAGCAGUCCCUUCGGGGCGCGCGCACAGGUGCUGCAUGGCUGUCGUCAACU
rnacentral:rRNA from 1 species